GUGCCAGCAGCCGCGGUAAGACGUAGGGGGCAAGCGUUGCUCGGAAUCACUGGGCUUAAAGGGCGCGUAGGCGGUUGUGUAGGUCCAGGGUUGAAGGCCCCGGCUCAACCGGGGAAAGGCCUUGGAGACUGCAUGACUUGGGUGAGCGAGGGGAGGGCGGAAUUCCUGGUGUAGCGGUGAAAUGCGUAGAUAUCAGGAGGAAGGCCUGUGGCGAAGGCGGCCCUCUGGCGCUCAACUGACGCUGAGGCGCGAAAGCGUGGGUAGCAAACAGGAUUAGAUACCCUGGUAGUCCACGCCGUAAACGAUGAGUGCCAGACGUCGGGCGGCUUGCCGUUCGGUGUCGCAGCUAACGCAUUAAGCACUCCGCCUGGGGAGUACGGCCGCAAGGUUAAAACUCAAAGGAAUUGACGGGG
rnacentral:rRNA from 1 species